rnacentral:rRNA from 1 species
CGGCGUGCUUAACACAUGCAAGUCGAACGAGAAGAGAUGAGAAGCUUGCUUCUUAUUGAUUCGAGUGGCAAACGGGUGAGUAACGCGUAAGCAACCUGCCCUCUAGAUGGGGACAACAGCUGGAAACGGCUGCUAAUACCGAAUACGUUCUUUCUGUCGCAUGGCAGAGGGAAGAAAGGGAGGCUCUUCGGAGCUUUCGCUGGAGGAGGGGCUUGCGUCUGAUUAGCUAGUUGGAGGGGUAACGGCCCACCAAGGCGACGAUCAGUAGCCGGUCUGAGAGGAUGAACGGCCACAUUGGGACUGAGACACGGCCCAGACUCCUACGGGAGGCAGCAGUGGGGAAUCUUCCGCAAUGGACGAAAGUCUGACGGAGCAACGCCGCGUGAACGAUGACGGCCUUCGGGUUGUAAAGUUCUGUUAUACGGGACGAAUGGUACGACGGUCAAUACCCGUCGUAAGUGACGGUACCGUAAGAGAAAGCCACGGCUAACUACGUGCCAGCAGCCGCGGUAAUACGUAGGUGGCAAGCGUUGUCCGGAAUUAUUGGGCGUAAAGGGCGCGCAGGCGGCGUCGUAAGUCGGUCUUAAAAGUGCGGGGCUUAACCCCGUGAGGGGACCGAAACUGCGAUGCUAGAGUAUCGGAGAGGAAAGCGGAAUUCCUAGUGUAGCGGUGAAAUGCGUAGAUAUUA